rnacentral:rRNA from 1 species
AAAGGAAUUGACGGGGACCCGCACAAGCGGUGGAACAUGUGGUUUAAUUCGACACUAAGCGAAGAACCUUACCAGGGCUUGACAUCUUCGGAAUCCUCCCGAAACGGAGGAGUGCCUUUUGGAGCCGAAUGACAGGUGCUGCACGGUCGUCGUCAGCUCGUGCUGUGAAGUGUCCCGUUAAGUCGGUUAACGAGCGCAACCCCUAUUGUAUGUUGUAUUCUCAUGCAAGACUGCCGGCGUUAAGUCGGAGGAAGGCGGGGAUGACGUCAGAUCAGCGUGGCUCUUACGCCCUGGGCUACACACGUGUUACAAUGGAUAGUAACAAAGGGUCGCCAAGCUGCGAAGCGAAGCUAAUCCCAUGCAAAACUAUUCUAAGUUCGGAUUGAUGGCUGAAACUCGCCAUCAUGAAGUCGGAAUCGCUAGUAAUCGUAGGUCAGCAAUACUACGGUGAAUACGUUCUCGGGUCUUGUACACACCGCCCGU